rnacentral:tRNA from 1 species
AAUCGGUAGACGCUACGGACUUGAAAUCGUGAGGGUUCAAGUCCCUCUAUCCCC